GAUGAACGCUGGCGGCGUGCCUAAUACAUGCAAGUCGAGCGAACAGACGAGGAGCUUGCUCCUCUGACGUUAGCGGCGGACGGGUGAGUAACACGUGGAUAACCUACCUAUAAGACUGGGAUAACUUCGGGAAACCGGAGCUACUACCGGAUAAUAUAUUGAACCGCAUGGUUCAAUAGUGAAAGACGGUUUUGCUGUCACUUAUAGAUGGAUCCGCGCCGGAUUAGCUAGUUGGUAAGGUAACGGCUUACCAAGGCGACGAUGCGUAGCCGACCUGAGAGGGUGAUCAGCCACACUGGAACUGAGACACGGUCCAGACUCCUACGGGAGGCAGCAGUAGGGAAUCUUCCGCAAUGGGCGAAAGCCUGACGGAGCAAUGCCGCGUGAGUGAUGAAGGUCUUCGGAUCGUAAAACUCUGUUAUUAGGGAAGAAAAAAUGUGUAAGUAACUAUGCACGUCUUGACGGUACCUAAAGAGAAAGCCACGGCUAACUACGUG
rnacentral:rRNA from 1 species